rnacentral:misc_RNA from 1 species
GGGAGGUAAAGAUGAGGUAGGGAUCGGUCGCGCGCAAGUAACGUGUUGACUCUCGCGAUCGCGUAGCUCCUAAUUUAUUUACAAUUUCGCAAAGGGGGAACCGGAUUGAUUCGAGUCCCAUCCACAGGCGAGAUCCAAUACCAAGCUGCGGAGUAGCCACCGAUUCAGGCUCCACCGUAAUUCGCCGGCCGUUUAAUUGCGCGCUGGCUUAGACGACGAUUGCAUCGUUCGAUCGUGAUUAACGGACGUUUUGUACGUGCUUCCUGGUACUGUGGAUUAUAUCUUUGACUACAUAUUUCGAAAAGUUUGAAUUGCUAUGUUUCGCUAAAUUCUAUCGAAAGUUGGAGAACGUACGAAACAGCUCUAGGUCACGUGAUUCUCAACCGAACGGUAUCUCAAUUCGCAACUAUUCCAUCGUCCGUACUAUACUCGACUUAUUCGACGAGAUCUAAUCCGAUUGAGAAAUUUGACAUAUCAAUUUACAAACGACUAUCGCAGCAUGAGAUUCGAAAUACGUAUCUACUCCUAUAGAAUGCGUACGGUGUCUAAGUAUAUGUUUCUAAGGCGCUCAUAACUGUUCGUAACUAGAGAUUUUUUCCGAUAGCUAAAAAUAAUAAUCAAACGCCAACAAUCGA